CAAUAGCGUAUAUUUAAGUUGCUGCAGUUAAAAAGCUCGUAGUUGGAUUUCGGGUGGGAAUGGCCGGUCCGCCGUUUCGGUGUGCACUUGCUACGCCCACCUUGCUGCCGGGGACGUGCUCUUGAGUUCACGCUCGGGACACGGAGUCGGCGAGGUUACUUUGAGUAAAUUAGAGUGUUCAAAGCAGGCCUACGCUCUGAAUACAUUAGCAUGGAAUAACACGAUAGGACUCUGGCCUAUCUUGUUGGUCUGUAGGACCGGAGUAAUGAUUAAGAGGGACAGUCGGGGGCAUUCGUAUUUCAUUGUUAGAGGUGAAAUUCUUGGAUUUAUGAAAGACGAACUACUGCGAAAGCAUUUGCCAAGGAUGUUUUCAUUAA
rnacentral:rRNA from 1 species